rnacentral:rRNA from 1 species
CACGUAGGCGGAUAUUUAAGUCAGGGGUGAAAUCCCAGAGCUCAACUCUGGAACUGCCUUUGAUACUGGGUAUCUGGAGUAUGGAAGAGGUAAGUGGAAUUCCGAGUGUAGAGGUGAAAUUCGUAGAUAUUCGGAGGAACACCAGUGGCGAAGGCGGCUUACUGGUCCAUUACUGACGCUGAGGUGCGAAAGCGUGGGGAGCAAACA